rnacentral:rRNA from 1 species
UACAUAGGGAGCAAGCGUUACCCGGAUUUAUUGGGCAUAAAGGGCGCGUAGGCGGCUUUUUAAGUCAGAUGUUAAAUGCUAAAGCUUAACUUUAGCCUGCAUUUGAAACUGAAUUGCUAGAGAUCAGGAAAGGAAAGCGGAACUCACAGUGUAGCGGUGAAAUGCGUAGAUAUUGUGAGGAACACCAGUUGCGAAGGCGGCUUUCUGGCCUGAAUCUGACGCUGAGGCGCGAAAGCGUGGGGAUC